rnacentral:lncRNA from 1 species
GAGCCGACCGUGACAUUGCCUAUGUCCGCCGAUGAAAGCGACGACGACGAGUCAACAACGGCGCGUGAAUUCGACGCGCCUUAAAUUUCCGACGACGCUACGGAGCAGUUUAUGGAUGAAAUCGCUGAGAAGAUCGCUUCAAUUGAUUUCUACUGCUUUGCCACCGAUGAGUCGUUCGCUGGUAUGACUCUGAUACAGUCUCGUCUUCAAUUUUGGCCGGAAAAAGUUUUAAAUUUCUCUUCCUUACAUUGAGUUCUUAUGUUUGAUUCAUCUUUUCUCACAAUUUUCCUUGAAAGUUUUGAUUUUUCUCUUCGUCAAGUUUGUAGAUUUUUAGCUUGUUGAGUUUUUUUCAUCUUUCAAGAUUAUACUAUAGCCUAUAUCACUGAGGUAGUAGAAGGUGAAGAUGUUACAUUGCAGUUUUUAGUAUUAAACAAAGUCUAAUUUCUCCCUAAAGUCUUAAUUUUUUGCAAUGCUUCUACUAGGAACAUGACUUGAGUAACUUUUCCUACUUGAUUCUCUGUUAUCUCUGUGGACGUUGAUUCACUAGUCUUGAACGUGUAUCUUCUCUUCAAGGGACUUUGACGAGAUGGUUACCUUGAGACCGUGCCUCAUGUACAAGGUUGUAGUUACUCUGGGGACAACUACAUGAUCUUUAGCAACCUUUAUUGAGUACCUAGACAGGACUGAAGCAGCGAUUGUCUUCAUCUGUAGGUAAGCAAAUGUUUUCCCUAAACACAGCCUUGGUCCAGCAUUGAACACAACGUAUUUAAAUUGGUCAUCAUUCACGAAAUUCCCUGAUUGGAUCCAUCUCUCUGGUUUGAAUGAUUCACAGUCUUUUCCCCAUAUGGAUUCCAUCCUUCCCAUGGCGUAAGUCGCAAAGUAAACCCGUGAGCCUUUACGUAUGAAUGUCCCAUCGGGAAACAC